rnacentral:rRNA from 1 species
CAGCCGCCGCGGUAAUACGAAGGGGGCUAGCGUUGCUCGGAAUGACUGGGCGUAAAGGGCGCGUAGGCGGCGAUCAAAGUCAGGCGUGAAAUUCCUGGGCUCAACCUGGGGGCUGCGCUUGAUACUUGGUUGCUUGAGUGGGGAGGAGGGUCGUGGAAUUCCCAGUGUAGUGGUGAAAUUCGUAGAUAUUGGGAAGAACACCGGUGGCGAAGGCGGCGACCUGGUCCUCGACUGACGCUGAGGCGCGAAAGCGUGGGGAGCAAACAGGAUUAGAUACCCCUGUAGUCCCUGUCUCUUAUAC